CCGUUACUCCCUCAAAAUCUAUGUAUCUCCAAGAGUAGUCUUUGUACUUCUAAGCCUUUUGCCGGUCUUGGGUCUUAGGUAUUAGAUCUUGGAUCUUUCUUCUUCCUCACGGUGCGAUGACUAUCAACUCCCCGUCAAUAUGUCAAGGACUUGGGUCUUAGAACGAAGAUCACCUCACUUCACUUCACCUCACUGCAAAAGUUAGAAUACAAUAUCUACGAAAAUAUCCUUUGUUUAAAAAAAGAUUUGGUUCCGCAAUGUCAAUCCAAUAACCACGGUUAAUUAUAAUGAUCAAUCGAUUAUAACACCAAUAUAAGAGUGGUUAGUGUAACAAUUUAUAUCUCGCGGAAAAUAUAAAUAGUUGAUUUUAGUACUGAGCACGUCACGCAAGGAGGGCGCGCUACAAGUAUGACUAAUUAGUGUUGGGUGAUAUAUAAGUAUAUAGUGUAGUUAAUAAUCACACCCACACACACGAGAUCGAGAAAUAAACAAGUAACCACGUAACUUGUUCGGUUAGUACCCCACGAUAGCGGAAAGGCCCGAACGGGGUUUUUCACCAAAACAAGCAAAAUCACAUCCGCACACACGUUCGAGAAAUAAACACGUAAACCACGUAACUUAUCUUAAUGAUAUCCCCACCAAGCACAGGGCUGAAAAAUGGGUGUCUCACUAAAACAAGAAGGGUAUGGGAGUGAUGGGAAUGGGAGCACAAAUUAUGAGUUAGUGAGCAAGUAAAGUUAGUGCACAAAAUUCCCGAUAAUAACGAGUGGCCAACUCGCUUAUUAUGAAAUCAAAAGAGAGCUUUAAGAUGAAGAGAAUGUUUUGUAUAAAAGCCCUUUGAAAAUGGUCGGUUAAGACACGAAUAAAAUGAAGCUAAAAAUAAACCACUUACACGAUUUUUGCAAAAAGUUCGCCGGAAAAAUUCGUCGGAGGUUCGAUACAACUUUAAGUACACGAACGAAUUUGGGCAGCCCUUCGGGAGGUGUGAAAGAGUGGUUAAAGAAUAUGCUAAGAUGAACGAGGCUUGGUUGAAUGGAAACAAAGCUUCGGGGUUUAAACCUUGUGUAUAUCGAAGUAUAUGAUGAAUCGAAGGUUUAAAAACAAAGUGAAAGAAGUGAGCACUUGAAUAGACUUUGGGAGAGGGUUUG
rnacentral:lncRNA from 1 species